rnacentral:rRNA from 1 species
AGAGUUUGAUCAUGGCUCAGAUUGAACGCUGGCGGCAUGCUUAAUACAUGCAAGUCGAACGGUAACAUGCCCUCCGGGGUGAUGACGAGUGGCGGACGGGUGAGUAACGCAUAGGAAUCUACCUAGUAGUGGGGGACAACUUGGGGAAACUCAAGCUAAUACCGCAUACAUCCUACGGGAAAAAGAGGGCCUCUUCUUGAAAGCUCUUGCUAUUAGAUGAGCCUAUGUCAGAUUAGCUUGUUGGUGGGGUAACGGCCUACCAAGGCGACGAUCUGUAGCUGGUCUGAGAGGAUGAUCAGCCACACUGGGACUGAGACACGGCCCAGACUCCUACGGGAGGCAGCAGUAGGGAAUAUUGGACAAUGGGCGCAAGCCUGAUCCAGCAAUGCCGCGUGUGUGAAGAAGGCCUGCGGGUUGUAAAGCACUUUCAAUUAGGAAGAAAAGCUCAAGGUUAAUAACCUUGAGUCUUGACAUUAUCAAUAGAAGAAGCACCC